rnacentral:rRNA from 1 species
CGCCCAGAAGCUAGCCCGCCUCACCACAACCAACAAACCCCUAUUUAUAAACCCACAAGAACUAAAUACGCUUAAACAAACCAUUUUACCAUCCUAGUAUGGGAGACAGAAAAGAGCCUACGGCGCUAUAAAGAAAGUACCGCAAGGGACUGCUGAAAGAGAAAUGAAAUAACCCAGUAAAGCUUAGAAAAGCAGAGAUUACCCCUCGUACCUUUUGCAUCAUGAUUUAGUUAGUAAAAUUUAAGCAAAGUCUGCUUUAGUUUAAAACCCCGAAACUAAGUGAGCUACUCCAAGACAGCCUAUCAAUUAGGGCACACCCUUCUCUGUGGCAAAAGAGUGGGAAGAGCUUCGAGUAGCGGUGACAGACCUACCGAACUUAGUUAUAGCUGGUUGCUUGAGAAAUGGAUAGGAGUUCAGCCUUUAGGGUUCUCCCUUCAACCUGGUAUCACCACCAUUCGUUGUACGAGAAGCCUAAGGAGUUAGUCAAAGGGGGUACAGCCCCUUUGAAAAAAGACACAACUUUCCCAGGAGGAUAAAAAUCAAAAUAAACAAGGACAAAAUGUUAGGGUGGGCCUAAGAGCAGCCAUCCCUGCAGAAUGCGUUAAAGCUCAGACAUUUAAAUUGACCCUUCGAUCCUGAUAGACUUAUCUUAACCCCUAAAAUUAUCAAGCCGUCCCAUGCCUCCAUGGGAGUGAUCCUGCUAACAUGAGUAAUAAGAGGGCCCAGGCCCUCUCCCCGGCACGAGUGUACAUCGGAACGAACCGCCACCGAAACUUAACGGCCCCAAUAGAAGAGGGCACUGGACAACAAAAGACCUAACCAGAAAAAUAUCCAGGAACUAACCGUUAACCCCACACUGGUGUGCCUAAAGGGAAAGGCUAAAAGAAAAAGAAGGAACUCGGCAAACACCUGAAGCCUCGCCUGUUUACCAAAAACAUCGCCUCUUGCAAA